rnacentral:rRNA from 1 species
GUGGGGAAUAUUGGGCAAUGGGCGAAAGCCUGACCCAGCCACGCCGCGUGAGCGAUGAAGGCCUUCGGGUUGUAAAGCUCUGUGGGGAGGGGCGAAAAACCGGCAGCUAACAAGUGUCGGGUUGACGGUACCUCCUUAGCAAGCACCGGCUAACUCUGUGCCAGCAGCCGCGGUAAGACAGAGGGUGCAAACGUUGCUCGGAUUUACUGGGCGUAAAGCGCGUGUAGGCGGGAAGAUAAGUCGGGUGUGAAAUCCCUGGGCUCAACCUAGGAACUGCAUCCGAAACUGCCUUUCUGGAGUGGUGGAGAGGAGAGCGGAAUUCCCGGUGUAGAGGUGAAAUUCGUAGAUAUCGGGAGGAACAUCGGUGGCGAAGGCGGCUCUCUGGACACUUACUGACGCUGAGACGCGAAAGCGUGGGGAGCAAACAGGAUUAGAAACCCCGGUAGUCC